rnacentral:rRNA from 1 species
CAGCAGGCGCGCAAAUUACCCNCUCCCGGCACGGGGAGGUAGUGACGAAAAAUAACGAUACGGGACUCAUCCGAGGCCCCGUAAUCGGAAUGAGAACACUUUUAAAACCUUUAACGAGUAUCCAUUGGAGGGCAAGUCUGGUGCCAGCAGCCGCGGUAAUUCCAGCUCCAAUAGCGUAUAUUAAAGUUGUUGCGGUUAAAAAGCUCGUAGUUGGAUCUGUGUCCCACGCUGUCGGUUCACCGUUCGUCGGUGUUUAACUGGCAUGCCCGUGCGGACGUCCUGCCGGUGGAUGCGGUCGGCCGCGGGGCCUCCGGGUUCUGCGCGUCGGCGGUCCGAUGCAAUCCUACCGCGGUGCUCUUCACCGAGUGUCGAGGUGGGCCGGCACGUUUACUUUGAACAAAUUAGAGUGCUCAAAGCAGGCAGUGGUUCGCCUGAAUAUUGUGUGCAUGGAAUAAUGGAAUAGGACCUCGGUUCUAUUUUGUUGGUUUUCGGAACUUGAGGUAAUGAUUAACAGGGACAAACGGAGGCAUCCGUAUUGCGACGUUAGAGGUGAAAUUCUUGGAUCGUCGCAAGACGAACUUAAGCGAAAGCAUUUGCCGAGCGUGUUUUCAUUAAUCAAGAACGAAAGUUAGAGGUUCGAAGGCGAUCAGAUACCGCCCUAGUUCUAACCAUAAACGAUGCCAGCUAGCGAUCCGUCGAAGUUCCUCCGAUGACUCGGCGGGCAGCUUCCGGGAAACCAAAGCUUUUGGGUUCCGGGGGAAGUAUGGUUGCAAAGCUGAAACUUAAAGGAAUUGACGGAAGGGCACCACCAGGAGUGGAGCCUGCGGCUUAAUUUGACUCAACACGGGAAACCUCACCAGGCCCGGACACCGGAAGGAUUGACAGAUUGAGAGCUCUUUCUUGAUUCGGUGGGUGGUGGUGCAUGGCCGUUCUUAGU